GUGGGGAAUAUUGGACAAUGGGCGAAAGCCUGAUCCAGCCAUGCCGCGUGUGUGAAGAAGGUCUUCGGAUUCUAAAGCACUUUAAGUUGGGAGGAAGGGCAGUAAGUUAAUACCUUGCUGUUUUGACGUUACCGACAGAAUAAGCACCGGCUAACUUCGUGCCAGCAGCCGCGGUAAUACGAAGGGUGCAAGCGUUAAUCGGAAUUACUGGGCGUAAAGCGCGCGUAGGUGGUGUUGUAAGUUGGAGGUGAAAUCCCCGGGCUCAACCUGGGAACUGACUCCAAAACUGCAUGACUAGAGUACGGUAGAGGGUAGUGGAAUUUCCUGUGUAGCGGUGAAAGGCGUAGAUAUAGGAAGGAACACCAGUGGCGAAGGCGACUACCUGGACUGAUACUGACACUGAGGUGCGAAAGCGUGGGGAGCAAACAGGAUUAGAAACCCUGGUAGUCC
rnacentral:rRNA from 1 species